AUCCCGACAAAGAGACAUGGCCGACGUGGGUCAAAGUGUAGUAUUUGUUCUUCUCAGCUUAAUAGCUUGUACGGGUUGCAUUUGGACCUAUGAUGUUAAAAUUUAUUUCUUGAAGUUGACGCAGAGCUUAAUGCAUGCUUCACCUCCGCCGCGGUUCGGCCCGGUAUUGCACCAUCUUCAGAAUCAGCCCAUGUAUG